AAACGCUAAAGGAGAUAAUAUCAGAACAACUGACCCCAGGGCAUAUUAGGCCCUCCCUGAGCCCUUGGAAUAGUCCUGUAUUCCUCAUACAAAAGGCCACAGGGAAAUGGAGAAUGUUACAGGACCUAAGAAAGAUUAAUGAGCGGAUGAUUCCCGUUGGUCCCCUUUGCGAGGGCUACCCUGGAUCCCCUCCAUCCCUCGGGAUUUGACUUUCAUUGUGAUUGAUAUCAAGGAUUGCUUCUUUUCUAUUCCCCUUGAUCCCCAGGACUGUGAGAAGUUUGCCUUCUC
rnacentral:sRNA from 1 species